AUUGAACGCUAGCGGGAUGCCUUACACAUGCAAGUCGAACGAGUGGCGGACGGGUGAGUAAUAUAUCGGAACGUGCCCAGUAGCGGGGGAUAACUACUCGAAAGAGUGGCUAAUACCGCAUACUAUUGGAUGUGCCGAGAUGGGAUUAGCUAGUUGGUGGGGUAAAGGCUCACCAAGGCAACGAUCCGUAGCUGGUCUGAGAGGAUGACCAGACAGACUGGAACUGAGACACGGUCUAGAAUCCUACGGGAGGCAGCAGGGGGGAAUAUUGCACAAUGGGGGCAAGCCUGAUGCAGCCAUGCCGCGGGUAGGAAGAAGGCCUUCGGGUUGUAAAGUACUGUCAGCGGGGAUGCGUUACCCGCAGAAGAAGCACCGGCUAACUCCGUGCCAGCAGCCGCGGUAAUUC
rnacentral:rRNA from 1 species